GCCUGGGUGGCUUGGUUGGUUAAGCGUCUGACUUUGUCUCAGGUCAUGAUCUCACGGUUCGUGAGUUCGAGCCCUACCUCGGGCU
rnacentral:tRNA from 1 species